rnacentral:rRNA from 1 species
UGGGGAAUAUUGGGCAAUGGGCGAAAGCCUGACCCAGCAACGCCGCGUGAGUGAUGAAGGCCUUCGGGUUGUAAAACUCUUUGGACAGGGAAGAAGAAAGUGACGGUACCUGUAGAACAAGCCACGGCUAACUACGUGCCAGCAGCCGCGGUAAUACGUAGGUGGCGAGCGUUAUCCGGAUUUACUGGGCGUAAAGGGCGUGUAGGCGGCUAGAUAAGUGUGAUGUUUAAAUCCAAGGCUUAACCUUGGGGUUCAUUACAAACUGUUUAGCUUGGGUGCUGGAGAGGAUGGUGGAAUACCUAGUGUAGCGAUAAAAUGCGUAGAUAUUAGGAGGAACACCGGUGGCGAAGGCGGCUAUCUGGACAGUAACUGACGCUGAGGCGCGAAAGCGUGGGGAGCAAACAGG